rnacentral:rRNA from 1 species
GACGAACGCUUGCGGCGUGCCUAAGAAAUGCAAGUCGAGCGGGGAGCAAUCCCAGCGGCGAACGGUCGCGUAACACGUAAGCAACCUGCCCCAAAGACCGGGACAACAGUGAGAAAUCGCUGCUAAUACCGGAUGUGCCCACCUUGUCGCAUGACUGGGGUGAGUAAAUCGAGCAAUCGGCUUUGGGAGGGGCUUGCGGCCUAUCAGCUAGAUGGCGGGGUAGUGGCCCACCAUGGCGACGACGGGUAGCUGGUCUGAGAGGAUGGUCAGCCGGACUGGGACUGAGAUACGGCCCAGACUCC